rnacentral:lncRNA from 1 species
CCAGGGGCGGUAGGGAGGCAGACCCAGUAGAGGAGGCCUCAGUGGUGUCUUCCUUUGAAGUCAUGCACACCUGAGUUCAAAUCCUGGUUCUGCCAUUUACCAGCUGCACGACCUUGAGAAAUCCACUUAACCCUCCACUUCCUCAUUUCUAAGAAGGACAGCCCAGCAGGGUAGCUGGGCUAAUAUUUAAUAUUAGUCAAUGUGCCUUCUGCAGUGUCUGGCACUUAAUGGAUGAUCUAUAAAGGAGAGAGGAUACUGGGGGUAGGGAGGGGUGGGCUGAGACAAUUGACCCCUGCUGGGCUGGACUUGAGGUUCACGGCCACAUGGUUCCCUGUGCAGCGCCCCGUGGGUCCCAGCAGACACAGCACCAUAAUGGGAGACUUCUAGGCCGAGAGGGCAAAAGCUUCAAACAGCAGGCGGCAGCACCAGCUGUGUGGUGGCUGGGAGCUGGUCUAGCCUCCGCCUUCCUUCCAGAAGUCUCCCCAGCAUCCUCAACCAGGUCAGAUCCCCCAGCAUGACUCAACAUCCCUUCGACUUCCCUUCUGCAGCCCUGGCAGGAGCUGUGUUGCAGCGGUGCCUGUUGCAUGUGGAAGUCUCCCUUCAAGGUUUGCAUCAUGGAACUCACCUGGCCCAACCUCUCAGGGAGGAAAAUUCCAACCAGAGAGGGACGUCCAGGCCAGGGCUCUACUCCGGACAGAGACCCCGUCCCUGCAAGGGACAGCCAGUCAGCCCUGUCCAGCCCCGUCCAGCCCUGUCCAGCCCUGUGCAGCCAGUCCAGCCAUUCUGACUGCAGCGUUGAAACCUCUUAUCCACGUGUGGUGGGAGCCCCCUGCUGACCAGAGUGAGGAGUGGCAGAAUGGCAGGAAGGUGAGCAGACAUGCCCUGGAGAGACUCAGGGGGCCAGUGAGUCAGAGCCCAGCUCUCCAUGCUCCUGGCUUGUGAUGUGGCCUCUCCAGGUACUCCUGCAUCUCCUGGAGGCACCAACGUUCUCAUAGCUCUCUAGGCCUCUGGACAUUUGCACCUGCUGAUGCUGAGACCCAGAGGGCCUUUUAUCAGUUAACUUCAGGUGAACUAGCAGUUAUUGUGCACCUAUUGUGUGCUGGGCACUCUGAGUAUGUGCAAGGUCUGGCCCACAAGGAGCUCACAGUUCAGUGUGGGGCAGACAUGAAGUGAGCUCACUGCAUUAUCAGGUGCGUGUCCUGUCCCCAGCCUGGCUGCCAAUACUUGAGCACCCUCCUCAGAGAAGCCUCCCCGGAUUGCCCUCUGCCCAGCCCAGCCCAGCCCAGCCCUCCACUGCCUGCUCUGCGUCCUCUGGAACAGCGUGUGUUCAGUACUGCAGGGAUGUGAGCCCCAUGCAGGCAGGGAUUCGGCCUUGUUGUACCAGUGUCUGGGACAGUGCCUGGCACAACGUAGGUGCUCCAUAAACAUUUGUGGGAUGUACAAAUAAAUGAAGGUUAUUGAAUUCAAGCUCCUCCGUUACCCACCAAGUGAUCCUUGGAGCAGCAGUGCUUGCACUCCUCCAGCAACGGGGAACAUUCUACUCACCUCCCG